rnacentral:rRNA from 1 species
CUUUUUCUCUCUCAGGCCUAUUCUCUCUCCCAUCUCCUUGCAGCGACUCAAAAAAAUCCCCUUGUAGCCGCCACCGUAAGCCCCCACCGCCAGCCCACAACGGAGUCCCGGCCGCCGGCUCGCCGGUGCUCUCUGCCUCCCUGGAAGGCCAGAUCUUGCCGCCGUCCCGAACUCGCCGGCUCUCUCCACCCCUGAGGUCUCAUAUCUCCCAAAGAUCCUCUCCAAUCCGGAAUUCCUCGCGGAGGGCACCGACUGACACCGGCCUGCGGAGGCGAGGCAGGCUGCCCCUCCUCCGAUCAUCCAACCAUAGCAACGUGGCUCCUCCGACGAGCGGAGGGGCUCUCCUCUCCCAUCGGCCAGUGCCUCGACUCUGACUCCUACAGCUCGCGCCGGCCAACAUCCUCUGUCACCAAAUCUUAACCACACCGUGUUCCUCCGGACAUCGUCGUGAACCUCCAAGUAGAUAAGCCAACCUUCAUGUGUAUCUGCCGUUAUAUCUCUACUCUAUUCUUCUCUACUCUGUUUUUCAGGAAGAAGCUGGAUUGGUGGUCGUUUCCGGUUUCCAGCAUGCAGAUGGGUAUGCCAACAGCUGUUCCUUGGUUGAACUAUGCAAUGCAUCUUGCUGAAUUCCAAGCUGUACUAUUCUGGGUCUGCAUACAUACCCAAGCAGGGGAGAUAAAAGCUGCAAGUUGGGUAUAAAGCUUGGCAUGAUUCUUGGUAAUACUCUUUACUUGGUGCUUGAUAUUUUUUUGAUGAUUACUCUUUACUUGGUACAAGGUACUUGAUGAUUUUAAUAUAGUAUGGCCCUGCUGUAGAUAGCAGUUUACAUACAUGCCUGAAUAUGUUCAAGAUGCAUUGCAUUGCGGCACCAUCAAUGGUUCAGCCGACUGUCAAACACACAGUCGCGUCGGACAUCGAAGGCGAAGGGCACCCAACUCUCAAGUCUGUAAGCAGAAAAAGAAGAAGCCAUUGGAAUAAUCAGAUCCUUUUCAGGGGCUAAUUGAGACCAGAAGAGGAAACAUCCAUUUCUGUACAUCAAGAAGCAUAGCAGAAAAAAUCAAUGUGUGCCCAUUGUUGCCUCUGAUCUCUCUAUGUUCUUCACCGCCCCAAUGCCCAGCCACAUUCAUAGUGAAAAGAACCAUGUAUCUACAAAACAAACAUACAAGGUGGACCUACUUUACUACCUGGUACCUGCACAUAGGGUCGUCAACGCCGUCAUCCUGCCUGUUAUGCUGCCGUAUCAAGUUUGAGUUCAAAGGAGUCAAGUCAAAAAGGCCAAGAGCGCUAUACAUGAUCGACGUCUCUGUUUCUGUUUAUGGUGGGCAAGGAGGAGAAGCGAUCUCUCUACCAUGGGCACCCACUGCAGCUACUGCUGAAGUAUGAGCAAUCCCCGAUGCCAAGGUCAUAGAGCAAUCUCUUGCAAUUUUGGGCUUUUGGCCGUGCGUCCUCUCUUCGGCUAUGAGGCCGAUUUCGCUACUCUCCCGCUGAGGUCUGAACUCCUAUUUUGUUUUCUAUGUCGUAAAUAAAAUCGUAGAGGAUAUUCACCAGGAUUGGGGUUGCAGGUUCUCAGUUCAUGGAAUCAUUGUUUGAAUCUUCUUCUCGGUGCCAAAAUAUGUUGAUAUGCACUCUGUACAAGAAUCUGUGAGGUGUUUUCCUGUAGUCUGACCAUUUUUCC